rnacentral:rRNA from 1 species
AUUGAACGCUGGCGGCAGGCCUAACACAUGCAAGUCGAGCGGAGCGGCGGACGGGUGAGUAAUGCCUAGGAAUCUGCCAGGUCGUGGGGGAUAACGUCCGGAAACGGGCGCUAAUACCGCAUACUCUCAGAUGAGCAUGGGUGGGAUUAGCUAGUGGGUGGGGUAAAGGCCUACCAAGGCGACGAUCCGUAACUGGUCGGAGAGGAUGAUCAGUCACACUGGAACUGAGACACGGUCCAGACUCCUACGGGAGGCAGCAGUGGGGAAUAUUGGACAAUGGGCGAAAGCCUGAUGCAGCCAUGCCGCGUGUGUGAAGAAGGCCUUCGGAUUGUAAAGCACUUUAAGUUGGGAGGCGUUACCAGCAGAAUAAGCACCGGCUAACUUCGUGCCAGCAGCCGCGGUAAUAC